rnacentral:rRNA from 1 species
AUAAGCGGAGAAAAGAACCAACAGGGAUUGCCUUAGUAACGGCGAGUGAAGCGGCAAAAGCUCAAAUUUGAAAUCUGGCACCUUCGGUGUCCGAGUUGUAAUUUGAAGAAGGUAACUUUGGAGUUGGCUCUUGUCUAUGUUCCUUGGAACAGGACGUCACAGAGGGUGAGAAUCCCGUGCGAUGAGAUGCCCAACUCUAUGUAAAGUGCUUUCGAAGAGUCGAGUUGUUUGGGAAUGCAGCUCUAAGUGGGUGGUAAAUUCCAUCUAAAGCUAAAUAUUGGCGAGAGACCGAUAGCGAACAAGUACAGUGAUGGAAAGAUGAAAAGAACUUUGAAAAGAGAGUGAAAAAGUACGUGAAAUUGUUGAAAGGGAAGGGCUUGAGAUCAGACUUGGUAUUUUGCGAUCCUUUCCUUCUUGGUUGGGUUCCUCGCAGCUUACUGGGCCAGCAUCGGUUUGGAUGGUAGGAUAAUGACUAAGGAAUGUGGCUCUACUUCGGUGGAGUGUUAUAGCCUUGGUUGAUACUGCCUGUCUAGACCGAGGACUGCGUCUUUACUAGGAUGUGG